rnacentral:tRNA from 1 species
CCUAGAGCGGCCGCGGAGGAGCGCCCUGGGCCGGGCCGCCGGGCGCGAGGCCUUCCCGGGAGGCACCUCAGCGGUCUCCGCGCUCUCCCCGGCGACGCUCCGGCGCCCCCGCAGGGCCUCCGGGAACUUCGAGGUCCCCUGCGAAGGGCCAGCUCGGAGCCUCCAGCCUGAAGAAGGUGGAAGUCGGGGAAAUGUGGGCGCUCCGGGGUUGACCCCACGGCGCUCGUUCUCGCUCAGGAGGAGCCGGUGACAAAAUUCGGGAGGUGACGAGCAGAGAGGAAGGCGAAGCGGCGCCGGCUCUUUGCCCCCGGACCCCAGCGCACCCCAUUGGGCUUCCGGGGGGAACGAGGAGGCUCUGCAGAGACUCUGGCCCGAGAGCAGGUGGCGGUGGCCUGGACGCGCUCCAGCCCGUCGGGUGCUUGGGGCCGCAGCCCGGCCUUGCAGACGCGGUGGAGUCGCUGCCGGGUGUGCUCGGGAGGGAUGCAGGUUCCGGAGCGGCAGGGGCUGGGGAGAUCGGCUGCCCUGGAGCCCGUCUCCUGGAAAGCACGCUUGGAAUGCCUCUUGAGGAUUCUGAGAGUCGGUCUGACUUGCCCAGGAAGAGAGAUCAGGAGACCAGAUGAUGCAGCAGCAAAAGUCUUAGGUGGACAAGUUGGAAGAAAGAAAUUUCCAGGCAGUAGGAGUAUGAACAAAUGUAGGGCUUACAAACUGCAUGCAUGACAUCUUGGGGACCACCCUCCAGUUCUACUUUCUGCAAGAAACAAUAGCAAAGUAAGUUGGAAUUGAAUAGAAAUUGCCACAUCGCCAAUGAUUGGAGGAAUUUAAUGAAAAUAAGUGCCAAAUACAACAGAUGCAGAUCCUCCCUGAGACCGAAGUGGACAGAAGUGGUGGCUUCAGGUCUGCAUUGACUCUGAUGUGAAGAAAAGUUACAUUAAUUGACUUAUGUGGGGAUCGAAUCCACAGCACAGAUGUCCUUAGCACCAUGCUCUAAACAAACAAGAAAUCAAGGCUCGGAAAGUCUGUGACCAACACGUGGUUGCUGAGUUCCAAGGCCUGGUGUCAGGUUUCUGGUCCUCUGAAUAUUAAAGUAAACAUCAUUUGGUGUGCUGGCAUUUCAGUCAAUGGCAAGAAAUGCAAAUAACUCAAACAUAUAAAAAGAGGCUCAACAACACUAAAGUCAGGGAAAUGCAAAGCAAAACUCCACUAAGGGACCAUUUUCACGUUUCAAACUGGAAACAAUUUCAAAGCCUCACACUGUGCUGGGGAGGCCUCACGCAUUCAUUCAUUCAUUCCUCUCCAGGGUGCUGCCUUCCAGGGUAAGCCUGGAAAGACGGCCCUACCCACGAGCUGAGCUUUUCUGAGUAUACAGCCGUUUGGAAACAGCCAGGACCCGAGCAGAUGAUUCUCACUUCUUGGGGGCCACAGAAAACUAGAGCAGCUUCUCCGUUGCCUUAGGGGCAAAUGGCCUCACAGGUUCAAUUACCCUGGCAACUGAAAGGCCUGCAGUAUUAAAAUCUACUUAGAGGGUAGUGGGUGUAGCUCAGUAGUUGAGUGCCUGCUUCCCAUGCCUCCUUAAAAAAAAAUCUGACGUAGACCUUCGACGUCAGCGGUUCCUCCAUAUAUUGGCAAAACGAUAUGGCCAUUGUAGUCAUUCAUUCAAACACAUAAGAAUGCUUAACAGUGCACUUUCUUUAAGUAAGAGGGCAUUUUCGGUAUGAAAGCCAAGCAGGACAGAAAUAUUGAUAAGGUUUUUUUUAAAACUAAGGUACUACCGAGAGUGGGGUUCGAACCCACGCGGGCACUAGCCCAUUGGAUCUUAAGUCCAACGCCUUAACCACUCGGCCAUCCCGGUACCCUGUGAAGAAUGCCUGGGAAUUAUUUCUUUAUUAGAAUCAAUGCAUCUGUUGCCAGUUGUUGGGAGACCAUGAUUCCAUAAUAAUAAAACUUGGCUCUAAGCUCUAAAGAGCCAAGAAAACAAAAACUUUUUAUGUUGCUUGAAGGGAAACUAAAGAAAAAGUUUAUUUUCAACAAUUAUUUUCUAAGCAUUAAUUUCGACCACACAUUGUGCUGAGUGCUAAGGAAGCACUGAAUAAUUCCUGGUCUCGUGGCGGUGCAUUAACAUGUGGAGAGGCUUAUAACAGAGAAAACGCAGGCUGCCCUCUGUGUUUUCUGAAAGUGUCCACUUGUCCUGAGCGCCCGCUUGAUGACACUGAUGCUCAGGAGAAGGUAUUGCUUUUCCUCGAUCCUGAAAGGAAAACACAUGGGGGAGGCGCAGGGGCAGUGGACAAAGCGGACAGGCCACACUGCCGCCGCCGCCUCUGCUUCACCGAAGGCUCAGCCCGUUUUUCCUUCCGCGAUCUCUCUUUGCCUGGUUUUUUUUUUUUUUUUUUGCUUGUUUUUAUUUGAAUUGAACUGAUGCAUUUUCUCAUUUUAUGUUUUCUUUCCCCUCCCCCCACCUGCUGUUUUUGCUGUCUGUCCAUUUCAUUUUUAAUAGAUAAUACCUUAAUUUCAUUUUUCUUUCACUUAAGUCUUUGUCAAGAAGCAAAUUUACGGAUUUAAAAACACAUUGUCAGACUCUUAAGGUAUUUCUAUUUAUCUGUUUAUGAGAAUAAUGAACACAACUCAAGGACUAAAACAUUAAUAAUUUAACUAAUUAUGUAUUCCACCGUCCCAUCUCCUGCCUCACUUUGCCUGUUGAAUUCAAGGCUCCACUCCUGAUCCACUGGGGCACUGGAGGCAUCCGAAUUGGGACCCACAGGUUAUUAUAUUAAAACGAACUUCCCCUGGGGUACAUUUGGAAAUCCCUAGUAGACACAGGCAAUUUGAAUUCGUGACGUUGAUUUUAAUGACCAGUGCUUUAACUGACAGCUCGACAUAUUCACAAAAGCAGCACAGGGAGCCUGGGGCUGUGGCUACCCAGAGAGGAAGACACUGCCUCAGAACUCAGCGUGCUCUCAGAAAGGUCAGCCCACAACUGUUGCAAUGGAGAAUCCAAUGCAUGCUGCCC